rnacentral:rRNA from 1 species
GAGUUUGAUCCUGGCUCAGGAUGAACGCUGGCGGCGUGCUUAACACAUGCAAGUCGAGCGAACAAAGCCUUGUGAAGCCUUCGGGUGAAUCAAGGGUGCGUGAGCGGCGGACGGGUGAGUAACACGUGGGCAACCUGCCCUGUACACUGGGAUAACGCACCGAAAGGUGUGCUAAUACCGGAUGAAGUAGCCACUUCGCAUGGAGAGGCUAUGAAAGCUGAGGCGGUACAGGAUGGGCCCGCGUCUGAUUAGCUAGUUGGUGAGGUAACGGCUCACCAAGGCGACGAUCAGUAGCCGACCUGAGAGGGUGAUCGGCCACACUGGAACUGAGACACGGUCCAGACUCCUACGGGAGGCAGCAGUGGGGAAUAUUGCACAAUGGGCGAAAGCCUGAUGCAGCAACGCCGCGUGAGCGAAGAAGGCCUUCGGGUCGUAAAGCUCUGUCCUAAGGGAAGAUAAUGACGGUACCUUAGGAGGAAGCCCCGGCUAACUACGUGCCAGCAGCCGCGGUAAUACGUAGGGGGCAAGCGUUAUCCGGAAUCACUGGGCGUAAAGGGUGCGUAGGCGGCCGAUAAAGUCCGGGGUGAAAGGCUACGGCUCAACCGUAGUAAGCCUUGGAAACUUGUUGGCUUGAGUACAGGAGAGGAAAGUGGAAUUCCUAGUGUAGCGGUGAAAUGCGUAGAUAUUAGGAGGAACACCAGUGGCGAAGGCGACUUUCUGGACUGUUACUGACGCUGAGGCACGAAAGCGUGGGGAGCGAACAGGAUUAGAUACCCUGGUAGUCCACGCCGUAAACGAUGAGUGCUAGGUGUCGGGGGUCGAACCUCGGUGCCGCAGCUAACGCAUUAAGCACUCCGCCUGGGGAGUACGUUCGCAAGAAUAAAACUCAAAGGAAUUGACGGGGACCCGCACAAGCAGCGGAGCAUGUGGUUUAAUUCGAAGCAACGCGAAGAACCUUACCUGGACUUGACAUCCCUUUGACCGCUUCAUAGCAGAAGCUUUCCCUUCGGGGACAAAGGAGACAGGUGGUGCAUGGUUGUCGUCAGCUCGUGUCGUGAGAUGUUGGGUUAAGUCCCGCAACGAGCGCAACCCCUAUUUUUAGUUGCCAUCAUUAAGUUGGGCACUCUAAAGAGACUGCCGAGGACAACUCGGAGGAAGGUGGGGAUGACGUCAAAUCAUCAUGCCCCUUAUGUUCAGGGCUACACACGUGCUACAAUGGGCGGUACAACGGGUAGCGAGCUCGCGAGAGCAAGCCAAUCCCUUAAAGCCGUUCUCAGUUCGGAUUGCAGGCUGAAACUCGCCUGCAUGAAGCUGGAGUUGCUAGUAAUCGCGGAUCAGAAUGCCGCGGUGAAUGCGUUCCCGGGUCUUGUACACACCGCCCGUCACACCAUGGGAGUUGGGGGCGCCCGAAGUCAACUAUCCAACCGCAAGGAGGAGGUUGCCGAAGGUGAAAUCAAUGACUGGGGUGAAGUCGUAACAAGGUAGCCGUA